GUGAACGCUGGCGGUAGGCCUAACACAUGCAAGUCGAACGGCAGCACAGUAAGAGCUUGCUCUUACGGGUGGCGAGUGGCGGACGGGUGAGGAAUACAUCGGAAUCUACUUUUUCGUGGGGGAUAACGUAGGGAAACUUACGCUAAUACCGCAUACGACCUACGGAUGAAAGCAGGGGAUCUUCGGACCUUGCGCGAUUGAAUGAGCCGAUGUCGGAUUAGCUAGUUGGCGGGGUAAAGGCCCACCAAGGCGACGAUCCGUAGCUGGUCUGAGAGGAUGAUCAGCCACACUGGAACUGAGACACGGUCCAGACUCCUACGGGAGGCAGCAGUGGGGAAUAUUGGACAAUGGGCGCAAGCCUGAUCCAGCCAUACCGCGUGGGUGAAGAAGGCCUUCGGGUUGUAAAGCCCUUUUGUUGGGAAAGAAAAGCAGCAGGUUAAUACCCCGCUGUUCUGACGGUACCCAAAGAAUAAGCACCGGCUAACUUCGUG
rnacentral:rRNA from 1 species